UGGAAACCAUCAUUCUCAGCAAACUAUUGCAAGGACAAAAAAAAUUAGUAUUUGUGUCUUUUCCCCAUUGUUGUAGUUAUAAGCUGGUGUAAUUUAGAAUGGGCUUUACUUGCAGUAGUUGUCUAACAAACCAUUGCUAAAUGUUAUUAAAUAUCUGCCACCAUUUUCCCAAUAUAUUUUUUUCUUCCAAAUAAACUCAACUUUAUGGAGAAUCUCUGACUUACUGUGAUGUUCCUUCUGUCUAGAAUGACCUUUACCACUUGUCUGCUCAGCUAAUCCAUUCAAGGGCUUCUUCUCUAAGGAACCGUUCUAAUGCCUGACUUCAGAAUGACUUGUGUGCCCAUUCUCUGAGCCUCUUUCAUUCCCUCAUGUGUUUCUCUCAUGGUACUAAUGAAAAUAUAUGGUGAUUUCUAGAUUAUUCACUAAGUUCUCCACUGGAGUGAGAACUCUCGUUAAUCUCUGAAUUCUCAAUGCCUCACAGAGUAUAGAGGUGCUCUAUAAUAUUUGUUAAAUGGAUUGAUGAGGGAAUUGAUAUUUUGCUGCUCUACCAUGUAACCUUUUCUAAUUAUAAUGAUGGGUUUGUGUGUGUGUGUGUGUGCGCACGUGUGCACAUGCACACACGACGGGGAAGCUGACCACCAGCAGGCAAUAUGAAGCCACUCUGAAAUAUGACUGAUAAACAAUUUUAUUGUGCAAUGUGGAUCUUUAACUAGUCAUAUUCAUUUUUUUAUUAAAACGAGAUGACACAUAAGACAAGGAAUUGAUUUAGACCUUCAGGAAUCAACUCACACCACUUGCUCCCUUAUUCUUGCUUUAGGAAUGUUUAAAACUUUAUUUUUUUUCACAAUCAAUAGCCAAUUGUGGAAUGAUGCUACAGUAGGCAUCCAAGCCAUACUCAUUCACAGAUGGGAAUUUUUAGUUCAAUACUAAUUUAUUUGGAAGUUUUAUUUCUCAUGAUAUUUUCUAACAAGGCAUAGAGCCUUCUUUUUAGGAUCCCAGGUGCCAUGCUUUAUUUCAAUGAUGAGUGUGUGUGUGUAUCCAAAUUUUGCUUUUGUGUAAGAAUACCAGUCAUACUGAAUUAGGAACCUACCCUACUUCAGUAUGACCUCAUCCUAACCUAAGUACAUAAGCAAUGACACCAUUUUUCAAUCAAGUCACAUUCUAAGGUACUGGGGGUUGGAACUUCCAAUAUUAUGUUGAAUAUAAACUUUCAGUCUUUUAGCACUGAGUAUGACAUUAGCUGUAUAUUUUUAGUAUACGGCUUUUUAUUACACUGACAUAGUUUUCUUCUAUUUCUGUGUGUUGAUUUAUCACAUGUUGUGCAUUGCUUAUCAUGAAAGGUGCUGUGAUCAUGGGAGCAAAAGAAUAUGAGCUAUGAGAAAGAUCUCAGGCAGUUUACUCUAUUCUUUUCCUGUUGUGAAAAAAGAGAAUGUGAACUGGAAAAUAUCAGUCACUUGUGAGCCCCCACAUCAGUUCCUUAUUUACUAUUUCUACUCAGGAUAUACAUGAUGUAUCAAUUUCAAACAGAGCUUUGUGCCUUCUAUGCUGACACAAUGCCAAAUAUUUUUUUUUCAACACAAGACAAAAGGACUGUGGACAUGUAGAAUCUGGUAGAAACAAGUUUCCCACUAAAGUGAUUUUUUAGUGCUAUGAGAAUUAUUUUCAGAAGUUUUACAGUUAUUGGCUUCUGAAUUUGUGCUAAUACAUUAAAGGGAACAAUAAUAAAUAGUUUUAUGAGGAUCUAUACUUAGCUACAAAAAUUCCAGAUGACAAAGAGGCAUCAAAUGCCCACUUCCAAGAAGAAUGUUAUUUACAGAGCUGAACUAUAUACAUUUAAAAAAUAAACCAUUGCUACUGCCCUGUAAUCAGGAGACUUGAUAAUAACCUUCAUGUUUAUUCUCUGCUGUUCACCUAUCUUUUUGGGGCUGUUUUCUAAGAAUAAGUCUACACCUUUAAUUGCUUUGUCACACAUGCAGUGCUGAAUGUUUUGUUUAGUUCUUUUAAUUAAAUGCUUAUAUAUGUGCCUGGAAGAGAACCAUUGAGUUGCUGCACUUUGAACCAUCUGUUACCUCAUAGCACAGGUUAUUACAUAAAAACAAGUUCUAGAAUUUGUGAUGUUUAGAGACCUCAGUGUCCCUCCUAUUCAGCUUGUUCAAGUUACAUUAUUAGCUGUACAAAAUCCCAGAUUGGCUUGUAUUUUAAACUGGAACUGGAGGUGGUAUAUAGUUGACAAAACUGCCUGAGAAAUUCAAGCUGUUCACAUCAUAUGAGUUAUCUGCCCAUAAAGGAGUCCAAUCAUAUUGUUAUUGCUAAAAGGAUUAGUAACUUUUUUUGUUUUGUUUUGUUUUGGCCACAUUACCUGUAGCACAUCUGGGAACAAUUUGCAUGAAAACAAUUGAUGCCCAUGUCCCAAGACCAGGAAUUAAUGUUGAUUUUAGAAAUCGUAUAAUGAAGUAUAGCAAAUACCAGUGUACGCAGUAUAAUAUGAAGAGGUCAACAACUCUUACAUGCCAUGGGCCCCAAAAACACUUGAGUCAAAGAUCCAUAUUGGUUAUCACCAUUCAACAGCAUGGCUCAGUACCAGUGAUUUCACAUGGACAUUCCAAACAAAGGACUCCCUAAUCAUAGUGGAAACCUUCAAAAAUUGCUCAAAGUCACCCUGCUUUCCAUCCCAAGUCUCUCUGAAAAUCAUUGCACUCAUCUCCUGUAGUUUGUAACCAGGAUUGUCACACACUUUUAUUUUCUUCAUUUGAAACUGAAGGACUUCUUAAAUAGUAAGGUUAUUCAUUUUGGCAUUUUCAUAACUCAUCAUUUAGGUUGAAGUGAUAUGCAGACCACAAAGGAUUCCUCGAAUCCUAUCAUUUCAGGAGACUGGUAUUAAAAGACAUGUCAUAUUUCUCACCAUCACGAUGCUAUUCCACAUUCAGAUAUCUAGCUUGUUCCCUUACUAACAAGGAACUAUCUCAGGAAUAACUUUCUUUCCAUCCAGAUUUAGCAGGUACUUACAAGACAAACAAGAAGGUAUUUUGCCCACUGAAUUAGUCUGCAUCUGCUCUUUGCUUCCCUUUUCCCCCAUGCAUUAGUUUUCAGGAGAAAUCACAGAAGUGAAGUGGUUCAUGUUCCAGUUCCUAACAACAGGAUCAAAAAGUCUGUGUCAUAUCUGGUGUCAAGAGUGUUUGUGUUUGCCAGCAACACCUGCGAAAGCAUGACUUCCAGGGUGACUUGACAUCAAAAGACCUGUUAGAAACACAUCGUUUAGUACCUCAGAUAUUGAUUUUUGACAAUGUCUCUUGAAGUUUUAACAGAGCCACAAGUUGAGCUAAUCUAUAUUUUUCUGUGGUCCCUGAAGUCACUUGUAUAACAAUAAUAUGAGAAAUAUGGCCUUAUCAAUAACAAAAGGCAUGCCAAUCUUUGUCAGUUGUUAACCAAAGGACAAAAGCUGUUGGGUAUGCUUGGGGAUAGCUGAGGGCUAUAGCCUAAUAUUUCCUUAAAUGAUUAUCAUUUACUUUUGAGGUCUUGGGGCAAUAAUUUAGGGCAAAGGUAUAUUCACCAUAUUGUAGCAAACAGAAUUGUGUUAUUCAUUGUUUUCUUGUUAACUACUCUUUACUUCAACAGAGCUGUCAGACACAAAAGAAGCAAAUGGUAUUGAAGCAAAAGAAGCAAACAGUGCACAGGGUUGGAAUCAGGCCAGCAUUGGAAUCUCAGCUCCUCUCACUAGCUGUGUGACCUUCGGCUAGUUAUUUUAACUCCUUAAGCUGCAAUUUCUUUAUCUGUCAAAAGAAAAGGAUAGUAAUCCAUGGUUUAUGAAGUCAUGUAAAGAUUAAAUGAAAACAUAUGAAGCACUUAACUCACUGAUGGGCAUGUAGUAAAUGCUCAAGAAGCAAUAGAGAGGGUGAUAAUAGCUAAUUUGUCAUCACUCAUUCAGCAAACUUUGACUGAUGUCGAUUAUACAAGGCACUAUUCUAAAAUCUAGUUUUGUUUUUUUUUUCCUGGAUGAGCAAUGUACCCCUACAGUCCUCCAGGAAGUCGUAAUUUGAUGGGAGACAAAGAAACAUAGCCAAGGAUACAAUUUUAAGGUCACCUUGAAUCCUUCCUGGAAAAAAGCAGGUCAUAAAUAAUAAUGGUUGUUGGAGAAAGGUCUCUAGGAAAGAUGAAGAACUUUUAAAUUCCUAGAAGCAUCUUAGAAAAGAUAACACAAAAACUUUAUUUAAUGUAAAAAUAAGAGCUGAGAGUCAGUUAAAUAAACAUUGUUAACAGUUGAAAUUUUCUGGAUUAUCUGCAUUUAUUGUUACUUUCCUUUACUUUUUAAUUUAAUUUUAGAUCAAGGAGUUACAUGUACAUAUAUGUUAUGUGGGUAUAUUGUCUGAUGUUACAUUCCUUUAAAUCUUGUAUAAAUAAUCUUUCUUAAAACUACUUUGUAAACUUAGGUAAUAUAGACUUAAUGCACAUGUAUAUUUUUAUUUAGAUGGAAUUUACUUUUUUAUUGAGAAAUUCAGAACAAAUUUUAGAUCAUUUGUUCAACCACAUCUGUUUUCCUUAUUGGAAAAGCUUAAUUGCCUGGUUUGCAUUCUAUGAGGCCUCAUUUGUGAACCUUAUGGUAUCUACCGAAAUUGGAGGCACUGUGCCUGGGAAAAAAACUACUAGUCCUUUGUGUAAACACACUGACAAUUCAACCCUAUUAAGUGAUGGCAAAUCUGUCAAGAUGCUUUGCCAUUCUGACCACUUGGCAAGGAAAUCUGGUCUAUGUUUAAAAUAUAAUUUUUGAAGGUGUUGCUUCUAUUGAAUUCUCCCCUGUAUUGCAGUUCGCUUUAUUGGAAUGUGAAGCCAAAGUGUUGGCAAGAAUCAAAACUUUGUUACUAGUAACAAAGGGAUUUCCACAAUAUACCAGGUGGUGUUGUCAAAAAUAGUCACACUACACUUUUAGUGUUCAAAGUCCCACUGAUAAACCUCCUGGAGGAUCGUUUGUUUGGAGUUUAACUGCAGGUGUUUUUGGAACACUAUUCUUAAAUUCCCAAAGUCUGCUAAUUAGAAAGGUAAUCUGUGAAUUUUCAACUGCAUUUUCCAUAGAUCAGUAGAAGCACCUCUACUACAUUAAAUCCAUGGACCUUCAUUAUUAUAAACUGCUAACCGCUGCUCUUUCCAUAUUGAAAUACUGAAAUUGUACAUAUCAAUCCAUGAAAAAGGCACAUAUUUAAUGGUAAUUUGGAAAGAGAACUUUGUGUCAUUAAGGCAAAAUAUCAUAGGUUUAAUCAGAAGUGUCAGCAGUCCUAUUUCAAUUCAUUUACCUAUUAAUCUAUAAUCAUAGCAUAAAACACUGCUGCUAUCUUAGGAAUGUCUGUAUUCUUUGCUUUUUAUCGCGUGACCUCCAUCAUAGACACCUGACCUGCAGUGUAAGCCUGGACCAUCCUAUUGCCUUGUGAACAGUGGUCCUGACGGCAACUUCUUAUCUUUCGGUAGAGUAGUUUCCAAAUAAAUACAUGACAGAAGGGGAAUUAAUUAAGAAACAAAUUAACCCCAAUGCAAAGGAAAAAAAUAGUAGCAUAUCAGAUAAUUACUUCUGAUGAGAAAUUUCUACAAUGAAGCAAUGCUAACAAAAGCAUUUUUAAUUGCUGUUGCUGGUGCCUCCCUCCCUGUGAUGAAGUCCUUGAAUGGCAUUGCCCUUUCUUGGAGGAGUUGAAGCAGGAGCAAUGGAAGGAGGUUUCAAAACAAUCAGUGUUGUGAGAUUGCUUUAGAAUGAAAAGUCUGGGAAGGAAAUAAAUGAAAAGAUUCUGUCUGAGAUAACUUUUGAGUCAGAUUUUUCUGCAGCUUAGACUAUGUGAGGGGGUGGUUGGUGUGGGAGGCAAGCUAUCUGGAUUCUCAUGUUGAUUCUGCUACUUGUAAAGUGAUAAAAACUUGAACUUGGAACUUGACCUCUGUGAGUCUCAAUUCCUCUUGAAACUGUUCCUUUUGGGCUGGAGAUGUUGAAAGUAAAAUAAAUAAAUAAAUAAAUAAAUAAAAGGUAAUGGAUAAUAAUA
rnacentral:lncRNA from 1 species